ACCCGCUGAACUUAAGCAUAUCACUAAGCGGAGGAAAAGAAAUUAACAAAGAUUACCUUAGUAACGGCGAGUGAAUCGGUAAAAGCUCAAAAUGGAAAUCUGCAACUUUCAGUUGCCGAGUUGUAUCCUAAAGAGGUGAAUCAAUCUAUUGGGGUCUGGAACAAGUUAUUAGGAAUUUUACGCCAUAGAGGGUGACAGCCCCGUACAUGUCCAGUCCUCAUUGGGAGAUGAUCCUUCAGAGAGUCGGGUUGCUUAGAAUCGCAGCCCAAAAUGGGAGAUAGGCUUCUCCUAAGGCUAAAUAUUGAUGGGAGACCGAUAGCGAACAAGUACUGUGAAGGAAAGAUGAAAAGAACUUUGAAAAAAGAGUUAAUAGAUUUGAAGUCGUUGAGAAGGAAGCGGUAAAAAUAAAUUAUUUGAGGGUGACGUGUUAGUCACUGUGGUUACUUUGGGGAUCGUAAUUCGUCAAAGGUUGCGGUUUUUGAUAGUGGCUAUCUAGGCUAACAUUUCAUCUUUGAAAGGCAAUAUGUAGUUGAGGAUGCCAGAAUCACCUUGUGAAGAGUUCUAUGCCUCGGUAUGGAGAUUCGCAGGGAAAAUGGUGUACCAACUAGAGGGCGUCAUAUCUCGUAAGAGUUUGAUGAUAUUGCCAAAAUGGUUUUUACUGACCCGUCUUGAAACACGGACCAAGGAGUCUAACAUAUAUGCGAGUAUGCUAGUGUAGAAACUGAUAUGCAUAAUGAAAGUAAGUAUGAUGUGAUGGAGAAAUCCUGCAACAUCCAUCGACCAUGAUCUUUUGAGAAAGGUUUGAGUAGGAGCAUAUCUGUUAGGACCCGAAAGAUGGUGAACUAUGCUUGUGGAGGGUGAAGCCAGGGGAAACUCUGGUGGAGGCUCGUAGCGAUACUGACGUGCAAAUCGUUCGUCACACAUGAGUAUAGGGGCGAAAGACUAAUCGAACCAUCUAGUAGCUGGUUCCCUCCGAAGUUUCCCUCAGGAUAGCUGGGACAAAUUAACGCAGUUUUAUCAGGUAAAGCGAAUGAUUAGAGGCCUCAGAGGUGAAACACCUUUGACCUAUUCUCAAACUUUAAAUUGGUAAGAUCCGUAGGUUUCCUUAACUUUGUUUGAACCUUCGGGUAGAAUGCAUGUCCUUAGUGGGCCAUUUUUGGUAAGCAGAACUGGCGAUGAGGGAUGAACCUAACGCAAGGUUAAAGUGCCCAAGUAUACGCUCAUCAGACACCAGAAAAGGUGUUGAUUCAUAUAAACAGCAGGACAGUGGUCAUGGAAGUCGAAAUCUGCUAAGGAGUGUGUAACAACUCACCUGCCGAAUGAAUUAGCCCUGAAAAUGGAUGGCGCUUAAGCGUAUCACUGAUACCUUGCCACUAUCAUAAAGUUUCCAAUGAUAGUGAGUAGGAGGGCGUGGAUAUCAUGUAGAAGCUUCUGAUGUGAAUCUGAGUUGAAUGGUAUCUAGUGCGGAUCUUGGUGGUAGUAGCAAAUAUUCAAAUGAGAACUUUGAAGACUGAAGUGGAGAAGGUUUCCAUGAGAACAGCAAUUGGUCAUGGGUGAUUCGGUCCUAAGGUAUUGGGAAAUUCCUUGACAAUGUGCAUUAGCAUGCUGCCGAAAGGGAAUGAGGUUAAUAUUCCUCAAACUGCACGUGGAUAUUGUAUGGUAACAUAAGCGAGCUCAGAGACGCCAGCAUGGAUCCCUGGAAGAGUUCUCUUUUCUUUUUAACAUACCAUGGCCUUGAAAUCAGAUUAUCUGGAGAUAAGGCUAUAUGUAUGGUAAAGCAUCUCACCAUUUGAGAUGUCAGGUGCAUUCAUGAUGGUCCCUGAAAAUCUGAGUAAGAGAUUUAUUCUCACUGCAGGCCGUACCCCAAACCGCAUCAGGUCUCCAAGGUU
rnacentral:rRNA from 1 species